AUUCGGCUCUGGUCUGACGACAAUUUUCCUCAUUGUUCGUGCCCCUGUGGAGAGAUGCACUUCCAGACGGCCCCUGUUGAGGAGUAUUGCAUAAUAGGCCUGCAACAGCAAGUGGUUAUUGAAGAUUAAACAGAAGUCUCAUUUAUGGCUUAGCUUUCGAGAUUCCCUGGCAGAACCACAGGAAUCUGUUUUAUUUUAAGCACUAUCCUGAAAGCUGGUGAUUCACAUUCAUUUCUUUUGUCUUGAAGAGGAGAAAUUUGGAGCCAGUAGGCAGUGUUUAAAUAUCUGGCAAUGAUGAAGGAAUCAGGUAUCCUUUAGUGGAAAUCUAUUUCAGAAUAUUUGAUCCGGUAUUCUUACAAUAACUAGCUUAUCAUUUGCAAUAUGAGAAAAAAGUUUAUUUUUCAAGAUAAACAAAAAAAUUUACGAGGGCAUUUGUAUUUUACACUUAUUUAGCGCUUAUUAUGUGUAGUAAGAAAUGAAAUAAAAUAACACUUUUCUCCCUCUACUCUUCAAAAAUAUUUUUAUUAUGACUAUUUGAUAUAUUCUUCACAAUAUGAGUGAUAUACAUGUAAAUGAUGAAGCUGCGUUAACACUGUAUAAUAAAAUGAAUACCUGUAAAUCUACCACCAAAUUUCAAAAACAAUACCAUUGCAUCUCUUUUGAGUUUCUUUCUAAUACCAUCUCCUUGCUUCUCCAUCUCAGAGGUAACCACAAAUGUGGAUUUUACGUUUAUCAUUACCUUACUUUUAAAAAAUAUUUUUGAAAUUCACAUGUGUCUGUAAACAAUAUGUUGUUUAGUGCUACUUGUAUGAGAAAUCUACAAAAAUGGUACCAUAUAGCACAUUUUUCAUUUUUAUUUAUUUUCUAUUUAUUAUGUUGUUAUAUUUAGUUAUAAUUUAUUCCUUUUUCUUAUUGCUUGAUAUCCCAUUAUGCAAAAGUGCCACAGUUUGCCUCUCUGUUCUCCAGCUGAUGAACAUUUGGGUUGUUUCUCAUUUCUCUGCUAUUAUAAAGAAUACUUCUAUAAACAUUCUUGUACAUGUCUUAUUAUGCACAUGUGCAAAAAUCUGGGUCUGUACCCAGGAGUGGAGUUGCUGGCUUGUAGAGAGUAUACACAUGUUCAACUUCAGAAGAUAGUGCCAAAUUGUUUUCCAAAGUGGCUUUAGAAAUUUACUUUUUCUACCAGCAGUGAUCAAGGGCACUCUUUGAUUCACAUCUUUCCAAUAUUGUUCUUUCUAAUACUAUAGCAACCAGUAUGGUUUCGAUAUCCCAUUAUAAACUACAGUGAGCUUUUCCCCUUUUGGGGACAAGGACUGUAUUCCCUGUAGAUUAUACAUACUGUACAUUUCCAGACUGAGGCGUGUGUUUUGUGUUGUUUGAUGACCAAAGAGUUUAAUUUUAAUGCAGUUCCACUUAUAAUCUUGUUUUGUUCAAUCAAGUGUUCUUUUCCCGAAGGUCAAAAGUUAAUCCUGGUAUAUUUUCUUCUAAGAAUUUUAAAGAUUUUUGUCCUUCCAUAUUUAAGACUUUAAUUUAUUGUGAAUUUAUUUUUUGGUUUGAUAUGAAAAAGAAAUUUAGUUUCAUCUUUUCCAUAUGAAUAACCAAUUGCCCUGAAAUCAUUCACUGAACAGUUCACUCUUGUCCUUUUUAAAUGAAAUGCAAUGCCACUUAUUGUCAAAUGUUGUUUCCAUCUAUGCUUGUGUAUUUUCAGGGUUCUCAAUUCUUUCCUAUUUGCACAGUUAUACAUGAAUUAACAUGAUAGUUCCACAAUACAAAACUUUACCUUCUAAUGUGCUGAUAUCUGAUGGAACAGCCCCAACUAUGCUAUUCUUCUAUUCUAGGAAUUUCAUCUUUGAUAUAAAUUUUAGAAUAAGCUGUCAUGAUUCACAGAAAAAUAAGGUGAUUUUUUAUUAUAAUUGAAUCUACAUAUCAUUUUUGGGAGAAAUGACAUAUUUUUAAUAUUGAGUCUUUAAUAUCUUCAUUAACAUGUUGACGAUACCAAUUUAUUGACUAUAAUCAUUGAGGAAUACUUUGGUAUCAUUCAAUGAAAUUUUAUCAUUUUCUCCAUAUGGGCUUUAUGUCUAUUUUGUUAUAAUGAUUCUUAAAUUAUAUAUUUGUUCUUAUUCUUGUUCUUGUGCUAUAUUUACUUGUUCUUUUCUUACUAUGCUAGCUAAGAUCAGUGCAGUUAAAAUAGUCAUCUGUUUCUUGGGCUUGAUUUUAUAGCAAAUGUUUAUAAUGUCUUUUUUUUAAAUCAGGAAUACUUGUUAUAGUUUUUUUUUAUAGAUGGCUAAGGAAGUUCCUUCCUCUUAGUUUACUUAAGUAUUUUUUUAAAUCGUGAAUGACUGUUAAAUUUUACCAAAUGUUUUUACUAUUGACAAGAUUAUAUUAUUUUUAGAUUUUCUUUUUUUUCUUUUUCUUUUUUUUUUUUUUUUUUUCAAGUCGGAGUCUCGCAUUGUAGCGCCGGCUGGAGUGCCAUGGCGCAAUCUCGGCUCACUGCAACCUCGGCCUCCUAGGUUCAAGCAAUUCUCCUGCCUCAGCCUCCCAAGUAGCUGGGAUUACAGGCGCCUGCCACCACGCCCGGCUAAUUUUUUGUAUUUUUAGUAUACAAAUUAGAUAGGGUUUCACUAUGUUGACCAGGCUGGCCUCGAAAUCCUGACCUUGUGAUCUACCCACCUCGGCCUCCCAAAGUGCUGGGAUUACAGACGUGAGCCACUGUGCCUGGCCAGUAUUUUGAUUUUCUGAUAUUAAACCACUUCUGCAUUCCUGAAAUAAUCCAAGUUACUCGUGGUUAUACAUCUUUGGGUUCUAUUUGUGAAUAUUUUGUGUGGGCUUUGUAUUUUUUAGAAAAAUAAAUAAGAUUUGUUACAUAAUAUGAUUGAUCACUAAAUGUUACAUACUAAAAUUGAUUUUUAAAACAUGUAAUCACAAAUAACAUGAUCUGGUUUACAAGGGUAUGUGCAUACUUAAGGAUAUAUUUGUAAAGCAUUGUGUCCUUUUGGUCAUGGCAGACAAAAUAAUUCCUAUGAACCCUUUCAUUGAGAAAAACUAGAUUAAAUGGAAAAUUACAUUUUAAAAAAUGUGAUUGAAGAUAUUAAAGAAUACCAAGGCAAUAAGAGGUAUGAUGCUUAAAUCUGGGCAGUUGACGGAUUGCUUUUAACAGAAUCAAAUGGACAGGGGAUAUAAAUAUUAAAGUUUAUGUCCUUGCAAAAUUGAUACUCUUUUUAAAAAAAAUUUUUGAGACAGAGUCUCACUCUGUCAUCCAGGCUAGAGUGUGGUGGCGUGAACAGCUGAAUAGCAGUCCUGAAUAGCUGGGACCACAGUCGUGCGCGACCAUGCCCAGUUAAUUUUUAAAAAUUUUUUGUAGAGACAGGGUCUUAUCAUACUGCCCAGCCUAGUUUCAAACUCCUGGGCUCAAGCGAUCCUCCUGCUUCGACCUGCCAAAGUGCUGGGAUUACAGACAUGGGCCACUACACCCGGCUGGUUGAUAUUCUUUAGGCUUUAACAUCCUUGAAUGCUAUUGGGAUACAAUUGUCCCUGUCUGUGUUGGUUGUGUUCUACUUUCUUUCUCCCAGAUCCAUUUUCUGCCCUUCUUUGUAUCCAGAGAGGAUGGGAUGAAUCAGGCCCAAAAGACUAUUACUUCAGCUCGUGCAACUGGGAAAAUGAUCUUAGAGGAAUUUACAUUUAAAUUUAAGGGACCGAAGUUGACUGUCUACAGAUUUGGAAAUAUAGGUGCAAAUAUGAGGGUGACUUUGCACCUGCAAUUGAUCAACAGGAACAUCCUAGAGAAGACAAUUGUCCUGGGGAGAUGGUGCGAGUGGAAUAGGAGGCCAGCAUGGAAAAAUGGAAUGUUCAGUCCUUGCUAGCCAAGAUGAGAGCAGAAAUAAAUGACACAAGACUAAAAAUAUAAAAAGUGGGUGUCUAUGGCCAAUUCCAAGUUGGAGCCUGUAGCUAUGAACAAUGAAGAUCCUGAAAGUUCUGUUCCAGUCUUUAAACCUCAUCAUUCAAGUGGUGGAUUUACUUUUUUCUUUACCCACAUUUUCCCUUCAUUUCCCUAAUUCUAUUGGAGUGGUUUAAGAUAAUUUUAAUUAGAAGCAGCAGCCAAAAUGAGUAAUUGUAUUACGGUAGGAUAAUUAAAAAUGUAUGAGAAUGACAUAUUUAACAUUUUCAUUUUAAAACAAGCUCAUCACUGUUGAGUUUCUAUAAAAUUCUUGCC